GACGAACGCUGGCGGCGUGCCUAAUACAUGCAAGUCGAGCGCAGGAAAUCAUCUGAACCCUUCGGGGGGACGUUGAUGGAAUGAGCGGCGGACGGGUGAGUAACACGUAAAGAACCUGCCCUCAGGUCUGGGAUAACCACGAGAAAUCGGGGCUAAUACCGGAUGGGUCAUCGGACCGCAUGGUCCGAGGAUGAAAGGCUCUUCGGCGUCGCCUGGGGAUGGCUUUGCGGUGCAUUAGCUAGUUGGUGGGGUAAUGGCCCACCAAGGCGACGAUGCAUAGCCGACCUGGGAGGGUGGUCGGCCACCCUGGGACUGAGACACGGCCCAGACUCCUACGGGAGGCAGCAGUAGGGAAUCUUCCACAAUGGACGAAAGUCGUAUGGAGCAACGCCGCGUGAACGAUGAAGGCCUUCGGGUCGUAAAGUUCUGUUGUAAGGGAAGAACAAGUGCCGCAGGCAAUGGCGGCACCUUGACGGUACCUUGCGAGAAAGCCACGGCUAACUACGUGCCAGCAGCCGCCGCGG
rnacentral:rRNA from 1 species